CCUACGGGUGGCAGCAGUGGGGAAUAUUGGUCAAUGGACGAGAGUCUGACCCAGCCAAGUAGCGUGCAGGAUGACUGCCCUCUGGGUUGUAAACUUCUUUUAUAUGGGAGUAAACUGUUCCACGUGUGGGCUUUUGUAUGUACCAUAUGAUUAAGGAUCGGCUAACUCCGUGCCAGCAGCCGCGAUAAUACGGAGGAUCCGAGCGUUAUCCGGAGUUAUUGUGUUUAAAGGGAGCGUAGGUGGAUUGUUAAGGCAGUUGUGAAAGUUUUCGGCUCAACCGUAAAAUUGCAGUUGAAACUGGCAGUCUUGAGUACAGUAGAGGUGGGCGGAAUUCGUGGUGGAGCGGUGAAAUGCUUAGAUAUCACGAAGAACUCCGAUUGCGAAGGCAGCUCACUGGACUGCAACUGACACUGAGGCUCGAAAGUGUGGGUAUCAAACAGGAUUAGAUACCCGUGUAGUC
rnacentral:rRNA from 1 species